AGGUGCGAUCAUACUAGCGUUAAUGCACCGGAUCUCAUUAGAACUAUGCAGUUAAGUGCGCCUGGCCUAUAGUAGUAUUUGGAUGGGUGACCUCGCAGGAAGUCCUAGUGUUUUACUCU
rnacentral:rRNA from 1 species